rnacentral:rRNA from 1 species
AUGCAAGUCGAGCGAAUGGAUUAAGAGCUUGCUCUUAUGAAGUUAGCGGCGGACGGGUGAGUAACACGUGGGUAACCUGCCCAUAAGACUGGGAUAACUCCGGGAAACCGGGGCUAAUACCGGAUAACAUUUUGAACCGCAUGGUUCGAAAUUGAAAGGCGGCUUCGGCUGUCACUUAUGGAUGGACCCGCGUCGCAUUAGCUAGUUGGUGAGGUAACGGCUCACCAAGCAACGAUGCGUAGCCGACCCUGAGAGGGUGAUCGGCCACACUGGGACUGAGACACGGCCCAGACCCCUACGGGAGGCAGCAGUAGGGAAUCUUCCGCAAUGGACGAAAGUCUGACGGAGCAACGCCGCGUGAGUGAUGAAGGUUUUCGGAUCGUAAAGCUCUGUUGUUAGGGAAGAACAAGUGCCGUUCAAAUAGGGCGGCACCUUGACGGUACCUAACCAGAAAGCCACGGCUAACUACGUGCCAGCAGCCGCGGUAAUACGUAGGUGGCAAGCGUUGUCCGGAAUUAUUGGGCGUAAAGGGCUCGCAGGCGGUUUCUUAAGUCUGAUGUGAAAGCCCCCGGCUCAACCGGGGAGGGUCAUUGGAAGCUGGGGAACUUGAGUGCAGAAGAGGAGAGUGGAAU